UACGUAGGGUCCGAGCGUUUGUCCGGAAUUAUUGGGCGUAAAGAGCUCGUAGGCGGUCUGUCGCGUCUGCUGUGAAAACUCAGGGCUCAACUCCGGGCUUGCGGGCGAUACGGGCAGGCUAGAGUUCGGUAGGGGAGACUGGAAUUCCUGGUGUAGCGGUGAAAUGCGCAGAUAUCAGGAGGAACACCGGUGGCGAAGGCGGUGGUCUGGGCCGGCACUGACGCUGAGGAGCGAAAGCGUGGGGAGCGAACAGG
rnacentral:rRNA from 1 species